rnacentral:rRNA from 1 species
CCUACGGUGCGCAGCAGUCGAGAAUCAUUCACAAUGGGGGAAACCCUGAUGGUGCGACGCCGCGUGGGGGAAUGAAGGUCUUCGGAUUGUAAACCCCUGUCAUGUGGGAGCAAAUUAAAAAGAUAGUACCACAAGAGGAAGAGACGGCUAACUCUGUGCCAGCAGCCGCGGUAAUACAGAGGUCUCAAGCGUUGUUCGGAAUCACUGGGCGUAAAGCGUGCGUAGGCUGUUUCGUAAGUCUUGUGUGAAAGGCGCGGGCUCAACCCGCGGACGGCACAUGAUACUGCGAGACUAGAGUAAUGGAGGGGGAACCGGAAUUCUCGGUGUAGCAGUGAAAUGCGUAGAUAUCGAGAGGAACACUCGUGGCGAAGGCGGGUUCCUGGACAUUAACUGACGCUGAGGCACGAAGGCCAGGGGAGCGAAAGGGAUUAGAUACCCCUGUAGUC